GAUGGACGCUGGCGGCGUGCUUAACACAUGCAAGUCGAACGAAGCACCUUGAUUCGAUUCUUCGGAUGAAGAUCUUGGUGACUGAGUGGCGGACGGGUGAGUAACGCGUGGGUAACCUGCCUCAUACAGGGGGAUAACAGUUAGAAAUGACUGCUAAUACCGCAUAAGACCACAGCACCGCAUGGUGCAGGGGUAAAAACUCCGGUGGUAUGAGAUGGACCCGCGUCUGAUUAGGUAGUUGGUGGGGUAACGGCCUACCAAGCCGACGAUCAGUAGCCGACCUGAGAGGGUUACCGGCCACAUUGGGACUGAGACACGGCCCAAACUCCUACGGGAGGCAGCAGUGGGGAAUAUUGCACAAUGGGGGAAACCCUGAUGCAGCGACGCCGCGUGAGCGAUGAAGUAUUUCGGUAUGUAAAGCUCUAUCAGCAGGGAAGAAAAUGACGGUACCUGACUAAGAAGCACCGGCUAAAUACGUG
rnacentral:rRNA from 1 species